rnacentral:rRNA from 1 species
AAUGAACGCUGGCGGCAGGCCUAACACAUGCAAGUCGAGCGGUAACACAGGGAGCUUGCUCCCGGGUGACGAGCGGCGGACGGGUGAGUAAUGUCUGGGAAACUGCCUGAUGGAGGGGGAUAACUACUGGAAACGGUAGCUAAUACCGCAUAACGUCGCAAGACCAAAGAGGGGGGCCUUCGGGCCUCUUGCCAUCAGAUGUGCCCAGAUGGGAUUAGCUAGUAGGUGGGGUAAUUGCUCACCUAGGCGACGAUCCCUAGCUGGUCUGAGAGGAUGACCAGCCACACUGGAACUGAGACACGGUCCAGACUCCUACGGGAGGCAGCAGUGGGGAAUAUUGCACAAUGGGCGCAAGCCUGAUGCAGCCAUGCCGCGUGUAUGAAGAAGGCCUUCGGGUUGUAAAGUACUUUCAGCGGGGAGGAAGGUGCUGAGGUUAAUAACCUCAGCAAUUGACGUUACCCGCAGAAGAAGCACCGGCUAACUCCGUGCCAGCCGCCGCGGUAACAC